rnacentral:rRNA from 1 species
UACAGAGGUCCCAAGCGUUGUUCGGAUUCAUUGGGCGUAAAGGGUGCGUAGGUGGCGCCGUAAGUCGGGUGUGAAAUUUCGGAGCUUAACUCCGAAACUGCAUUCGAUACUGCGGUGCUUGAGGACUGGAGAGGAGACUGGAAUUUACGGUGUAGCAGUGAAAUGCGUAGAUAUCGUAAGGAAGACCAGUGGCGAAGGCGGAUCUCUGGACAGUUACUGACACUGAGGCACGAAGGCCAGGGGAGCAAACGGG